AAGUAGCGUUAGGGAUAGAAGCGGCAUCCUUUUUAUUGUCACAUUGAGCGCAGUCGAAAUGUAAGACAAUAAAAAGAUAUAGCGAAUAGCCCGUUAAAAC
rnacentral:sRNA from 1 species